rnacentral:rRNA from 1 species
GUGAGGAAUAUUGGACAAUGGGCGCAAGCCUGAUCCAGCCAUGCCGCGUGCAGGAAGACGCAUCUAUGGUGUGUAAACUGCUUUUGUACGGGAAGAAACACUCCCUCGUGAGGGAGCUUGACGGUACCGUAAGAAUAAGGAUCGGCUAACUCCGUGCCAGCAGCCGCGGUAAUACGGAGGAUCCAAGCGUUAUCCGGAAUCAUUGGGUCUAAAGGGUCCGUAGGCGGUUUAAUAAGUCAGUGGUGAAAGCCCAUCGCUCAACGAUGGAACGGCCAUUGAUACAGUUAGACUUGAAUUACAAGGAAGUAACUAGAAUAUGUAGUGUAGCGGUGAAAUGCUUAGAUAUUACAUGGAAUACCAAUUGCGAAGGCAGGUUACUACUUGUGGAUUGACGCUGAUGGACGAAAGCGUGGGGAGCGAACAGGAUUAGAUACCCGAGUAGUCC